rnacentral:lncRNA from 1 species
CAGCGCACCAGACUCAUGCACGCUUCCAUGGGUCACCUGACUUCCCAAACUAUCAGCUUUGCAAGAGACAUGGGGAUUUACUAAGCGUGCAACCCUAGUGAGGAUUCAAUCCUACAUGCUCCUGGGUGAGGUCUAGUUGAGGGCACAACCAGCAUAAUAUGCACUGAUUCGGGGAUGAUCUCCCAUUUUAAACUGCAAGUCCAGUUUCAGGAAGACGUGGCCUGACAUAAGCCCUAGAGCUGACAUUAACUAACUUUUUUUUUUUUUUGAGACAAAAAUCUCGCUCUGUAGCCCAGGAGGCAGAGGUUGCAGUGACCCGAGAUCACAUCACUGCACUCCAGCAUGGGUGACAGAGCAAGACUCUGUCUCAAAAAGAAAAAAAAAAAAAA